rnacentral:rRNA from 1 species
AACGAACGCUGGCGGCAUGCUUAACACAUGCAAGUUGAACGCAGGAUAGGACUUCGGUUCUAUUGCUGAGUAGCAAACGGGUGAGUAACGCGUGGGAAUCUACCUUUUUGUGGGGGAUAACUGAGGGAAACUUCAGCUAAUACCGCAUAAGCUCUACGGAGGAAAGGCUUCGGCCGCAAGAAGAGGAGCCCGCGUCAGAUUAGGUAGUUGGUAGGGUAAAAGCCUACCAAGCCAAUGAUCUGUAGCUGGUCUGAGAGGAUGAUCAGCCACACUGGGACUGAGACACGGCCCAGACUCCUACGGGAGGCAGCAGUGGGGAAUAUUGGACAAUGGGGGAAACCCUGAUCCAGCAAAGCCGCGUGAAUGAAGAAGGCCUUAGGGUUGUAAAGUUCUUUCACCUGUGAAGAUUAUGACGGUAGCAGGAGAAGAAGCCCCGGCUAACUCCGUGCCAGCCGCCGCAGUAA